rnacentral:lncRNA from 1 species
AGCAUAUCCAUUCACAAUAUCACAAGUCAGAUCCAAAUAAUGGCAGUUUCACUUCAAAUAGAAAUCAAACUUGAGGACUGUAAUGCACUUACCAUGAAGGACUGCUCAAAAAGAUUAAUAAAGUGCUAGAACUUGAACUCUUUAUGCUUCCUGCAUCCAAUGUCCCUAGUCAUUGAAUAAAAUGUUAAUUAACAAUAAUUGUACUGAGCCUUGAGAGCAUUGGAAUGGGUCCCUUUAUUACUUUUUAGAAAAAAAUGAAACCAGUUAUAUAUUUGUGAUGUUUUGGGAACAAAGCCAACAUAAAUCUCUCAAAGAAUUAAAAAAAAUCUCAAAGAAUAAUCCAGACAUCCAAUCAUAAAUAAAUGAAACUACUUUCCUAUUAACUAUGGAAAAACCAAAUACAAACCGACAGAGAUGUCUUCAUUUACAUGCAAGAUGUAUGAAAAA